UGGGUACCGGAUAAUGAUAUCCAGGCCCUCUAAGUGUAAAGAAAGUUGCAAAAAGCUUUUGAAUGAGGCCCUGGAUCUCAUCUUCACAAAGGACGAAUUGGCCAACUCGAGCGGCAUGGGCCUGAGAAAGGACAAGAAGAGACCAAAUAACAAGCCCCUGGAUCCCCUCAAGAUUGCAGCAAUUAUUGAUUUCACAAAGUCUUACGCGACGACGAAUAGCUGGGAGGUCAUCAAUGAAAAGGACAUGCAUCGCAUUAUCACCAACAAAGUAACAAAUGCGCGCAGAUGAGCUAGGACAUUCCAGUUGAUGGCAUUCCAUAUGUUUCCUCAAACGGGUCAAUAUACAUGUACUGUAGAUAUGUUUUGAUACUCUAGCUGUUAAACUUACUGUUCUAAGUCAAGUAUUCAUAUCCUUUAUUGAAUAUUUGUAGUCAUUUUACUUUAAGCUAUUAAUCCUGUAUUUUUUUAUAUGAAAAAUUAAGACUUGAUGAGCAAACUCUUGAUGCUGAAUUCAUUUUUCAGAGAUUAAGUUAUUGCAACCUUCCUACUUUCGAUAUAUAUGUCAAGUUGUAGGUGGGGGGCAAAUAAAAACUUUGCUCCAAUAACGGGAAAUGCUUAUUUUUGUCUUGAACUUUCUCCACUUUUGAGCACAAUACAAUGUAUUCUAGUGAUGACCUAACUUCAGGAGUUAUUGUGGUACAUCAUUUUAUUUUGCAGUCUACUGUGUAAGCCAAUAUAUUUUCACGAUUUUGGGCUGAUUCAUGAUUUUGGCUUAUUCAUGAUUUUGGUGGCGUUUUCAUGAGCUGUAAUUGACAUAAAUUGGAAUUUUUUUCUGAUUGUCAAUUCUAUAAAAAAAAUAUAACGGUCGUGAAAUAUCAGCGCACACACUUUUACAUAUUUAAUAUACAUAUAUAUACAGUCAACCUUGCCUAAGUCGAAUCUGUUGGGACUGAAGAAAUAGCUUCGACUUAGAAAAAAUUCGACUUAUGAAUGGUUAAAAACAAUAGAAUAUAAAGAGAAGAUGACUUGAAAAGGCCUUCGACUUAGGCGAUUAUUCGACUUAUGCAAGUUCGACUUAGGCAAGGUUGACUGUAUAUUACAAUAUUAUUUUGUAAAACUGUAAGAUAUCCGUAGAUCUUAUGUAGUGUAAAAUUUUUAGUCCUUUAACGCUAUUUACAAGAGCUUUAAAAAAAAAAGUACAAAAGUAUUAACUGGUUUUAUUGCGUAUCUCCCUCCCCCCUCCUCAGGUUCUAGUAAGGUGUUGGAAAAAUUAAAGUCCCUGGGUCUUCCGUGAAGCCUGAAACAAGACUAUGUUGGCACACCCGUAUGAUCUGUUACCAAAGUACUUUCCCCGCUCAUCGUUAAUAAUUAAGCUGGUUUGCACUAGUCUUAUUUCAGACUGCAAUCGAUGCAUCAUUUUUAAUAUUAAGGGAAAUUUGUUAUAACAUUUGUACUCUUGAGGUUUUUUUUCAUAAAUACAGCUGAGAUAUCAGUUCUACAUAUUUCUAAAUUCUCACUUUGUUGUUAAUGACCUUUUAAAGAGCAUUUUGAUAUUUUUUGCUCGAAUUUCUCGUGGACACGUAUAUAAUCAAAAGUUAUUGUAAUUUUCAUGAGCCAAGUUUUGAUAGAUUCAAUAACAAUGUAUGUGUA
rnacentral:lncRNA from 1 species